UACGGAGGGUGCAAGCGUUGUUCGGAAUCAUUGGGCGUAAAGCGCGUGUAGGCGGCUUGGCAAGUCGGUUGUGAAAGCCCGGGGCCCAACCCCGGAAUUGCAUCUGAAACUGCCUGGCUAGAGUCCCGGAGAGGAAGGCAGAAUUCCCGGUGUAGGGGUGAAAUCCGUAGAUAUCGGGGAGGAAUACCAGCGGCGAAGGCGGUUACCUGGAGCUUUGCUGACGCUGAUGCGCGAAAGCGUGGGGAGCGAUCCGG
rnacentral:rRNA from 1 species